GCGCGCCCCCCCCUGUGCCGAGCGUGGGGAGCAGCCCGUGGGUUCGGAAACACCGCGGGGAGCCGUGGCUCUCGAUGCGCAGCGUCGCAAGGAGCGCGGGUCAAUACGACAAGAGGUGUGGGACCCGUGAAGAACUUCUGAGCGGGACAUUCCUGGCCUGGAGAUCCCUCUCUGGCACGUGCCUACUGGCCGUGUAAUUCUGGAAACAACCUGAGCCUCAGUUUACGAUCUGUAAAAUUGCAAAAAUGGUGCCCAGCUGGACGGCUGUCAUGAGCCUUCAGUUGGCAGUGGGUAUUGUACUGACUUCAGGCCUCAGGGCUGUGUGACGCCAGGUACCUGGAUAGCAUCCCCGCGGUCACUGUUGGUGUUUUUCUCUGACACCAGUGAUGCUGUUGAACAAGGCUGUCCAGCUCGAGGUCGGUCAUGACUUACACUGACCUGGGAGGGAGAGGGGACCCUGUCCUCGGGGACAGAGUCACCACGGUGAACAAGAACUCUGUACCCUUUCAGGCCAAGUUUCAAGAAAAUUCUACCAGAAGGACUAGAAAAUACUGGUUGGCAAUGAGGUCUGGUUCACCACAGGCUUUCCAAGGAAUUUAACAUUUGUUUAUUCUUGUAACAAAUUAAAAUCUAUCCUGUACUUUGUCUAGAGGUCAAGCUUGAAUACCUUGAGGCAGGGGUGAGGUUUUCUUUUUUUAAGGACAGCUCCCUACUGUUAUGUGUAAUUUGUUUCUAAAAAUGUGUGUGAACGCCAAUCAGUAUUUCUUUGAUUGGUAGAGUCACAAAUAAAAUGGAAUUUGUAGGCUCA